GAUCCUUGAGAGGGGCACCCAGUAGGUACUCAAGAGUUGUUUGGAAAAUGAAUGAUCAGAAGAGGGAACAAGCAGAGUGGGGCUUGUAACCUGUCCCCUCCUGGACUGUGAAAAGAACAUAUAGCCCGACCUCCCUGCCAACAAGCUGUACCAUUGGGAAGAGGAGAGCCCAACGGUAGAAGCUCAUCAAUGAUUCCCAGCCUCUGUUUCCAUCAGAAUUGCUUGAUGAAGCUCCUUUAACACAAAUAGAUUUACUCACAUUCCUUAACUGUAAAAGGUGUGCAUGUGCCAGCAGGGGGUUCUGGAAUCAUGUACCUUUGUCAGAGCUCCCCCAUUUAAUUCUGAUACAAUUCCACGUAUUACCUAAAGAGAACCACUACUGAUGCGUUGGGUUUUUGUUUGUUUGUUUGUUUGUUUUGGUUGAAUGUGGUAGCUCAGCCCUGGGUAUUUGCCCUUGUGAAUAUGCCCAUGUCACAAAUGUGUGAAUGUUGGGUAUCUGUGUGAUUGG
rnacentral:lncRNA from 1 species